AGGCUUAACACAUGCAAGUCGAGCGGAAACGAUGGGAGCUUGCUCCCAGGCGUCGAGCGGCGGACGGGUGAGUAAUACUUAGGAAUCUGCCCAGUAGUGGGGGAUAGCUCGGGGAAACUCGAAUUAAUACCGCAUACACCCUACGGGGAAAAGGGGGCACUUGUGCUCUCGCUAUUGGAUGAGCCUAAGUCGGAUUAGCUAGUUGGUGGGGUAAAGGCCUACCAAGGCGACGAUCUGUAGCUGGUCUGAGAGGAUGAUCAGCCACACCGGGACUGAGACACGGCCCGGACUCCUACGGGAGGCAGCAGUGGGGAAUAUUGGACAAUGGGGGCAACCCUGAUCCAGCCAUCCCGCGUGUGUGAAGAAGGCCUUUUGGUUGUAAAGCACUUUAAGCAGUGAAGAAGACUCUAUGGUUAAUACCCAUAAACGAUGACAUUAGCUGCAGAAUAAGCACCGGCUAACUCUGUGCCAGCAGCCGCGGUAAUACAGAGGGUGCAAGCGUUAAUCGGAAUUACUGGGCGUAAAGCGAGCGUAGGUGGCUUGAUAAGUCAGAUGUGAAAUCCCCGGGCUUAACCUGGGAACUGCAUCUGAUACUGUUGGGCUAGAGUAGGUGAGAGGGAGGUAGAAUUUCAGGUGUAGCGGUGAAAUGCGUAGAGAUCUGAAGGAAUACCGAUGGCGAAGGCAGCCUCCUGGCAUCAUACUGACACUGAGGUUCGAA
rnacentral:rRNA from 1 species